rnacentral:rRNA from 1 species
AGCUUUCUUUAAUUUUUAUUUUUAAAUUUACACUUUUUGUAAAAAUGCAAAAAUGUAAUUAUAAGACGAGAAGACCCUAUAAAACUUAAUAUAAUAAAUUAAUAAUAUUAAUUUAUUAUAUUAGAUUGGGGAGAUUAUGAAAUUUUAUUAACUUUCAUUUUAUUUUUUUCAAUAAUUAUUGUUUUGUUGUUUUAUUUUAAUAAAUAUAAGAUUAAGUUACUUUAGGGAUAACAGCGUAAUUUAAUUGGAGAGUUCUUAUUGAUAAUUAUGUUUGCGACCUCGAUGUUGAAUUAAGAUUA